UACAGAGGGUGCGAGCGUUGUCCGGAAUCACUGGGCGUAAAGGGCGCGUAGGUGGCGGCCCAAGUCCAUGGUGAAAGCUCGAUGCUCAACAUCGAGUCGGCCACGGAUACUGGGUUGCUCGAGCACUGUAGGGGCAGAUGGAAUUCCGGGUGUAGCGGUGGAAUGCGUAGAGAUCCGGAAGAACACCGGUGGCGAAGGCGGUUGGCUGGGCAGGUGCUGACACUGAGGCGCGACAGCGUGGGGAGCAAACAGG
rnacentral:rRNA from 1 species